GGUUGUGUAGUGUAGCGGUUAUCACUCCGGAUUCUGAUUUCAUGACAUUCCGGCAACCCCGGUUCGAUUCCGGGCACGACCU